rnacentral:rRNA from 1 species
AUGAAGUGGCUCUCGCGGUCCAAGAUGGCGCCGGCCACGGAGAUGGCCAUUCGCGUCACCGUCAGUGACAAUGCUGUAACCAGCAAGGCUCUGCGCUGGUUGCCGAAGCAGAAGAGAGGGUUGCGUCGUGCGGGCACUAGUUGCCGCCUUGAUCCGUAUCUAUACAUGGUACAUGGAAUCUAUGCCACAUAGUUUGCGUUUGGAUGA